GGCAACAGCUGUACCACCCUGAAUGUGCCUGAUCUUGUCUGAUCUCAGAAACUUAAACAAGGCUGGGCCUGGUUAGUACUCAGAUGGGAGACCUCUUCUGAAAAUGAUGGUCUUCUGGGCA
rnacentral:rRNA from 1 species